rnacentral:rRNA from 1 species
GGACCAUCAUGUCGGUCGUGCCUUUGGUACGUACUGGUAUUAUUGGUUUCUCCUUUCUGAAGAACUACGAUGUCAUUAAUUUGGUGUUGUGGGGAAUCAGGACUGUUACUUUGAAAAAAUUAGAGUGUUUAAAGCAGGCUCACGCUUGAAUACAUUAGCAUGGAAUAAUGAAAUAGGACGUUUGAUUCUAUUUUGUUGGUUUCUAGGAUCGACGUA